GUUUCUGGUUCUCAAAUUUGAAAGGAACUGGGGGUUGGUUGGUUUUUUGAAUGGUGAGAGGAUCAAAUGUGGCAGGCACCCAAGAAAAGACUGAGAGGUUCCAUUAAUUAAGCAAGUGUUGGCAGAAUUGACAGCCAUCUAUCCACACCAAUCUCCAAGGGCAAACCAAAUUCCUGGAGGAUAAAGCUAUCAAUGGCUACUAGAUCACAGGGAUAUUUUUCUCAGUACUCUCAAACUGCUCUCAUAUCCUGCUGGCAGUCUUCCCAAUGAUAUCUGGUUGGCCAAUAUGGGAAGAAGAAUUUUGGAUUAAAGAGGCCUUUGAUUUAA